rnacentral:rRNA from 1 species
GUGCCAGCAGCCGCGGUAAUACGUAGGGUACGAGCGUUGUCCGGAAUUAUUGGGCGUAAAGAGCUCGUAGGUGGUUGGUCACGUCUGCUGUGGAAACGCAACGCUUAACGUUGCGCGUGCAGUGGGUACGGGCUGACUAGAGUGCAGUAGGGGAGUCUGGAAUUCCUGGUGUAGCGGUGAAAUGCGCAGAUAUCAGGAGGAACACCGGUGGCGAAGGCGGGACUCUGGGCUGUAACUGACACUGAGGAGCGAAAGCAUGGGGAGCAAACAGGAUUAGAUACCCUGGUAGUCC